UGACAAUGUGUUUUCAGCCUCUAGACAUGCUAAUUUACAACUUUGUUUCUAAUUUUGUAGUAUGAAAUGUGUUUUCUUAAUAAAGCUUUCUUUGAGAACAAUAUCAUGACGAAAAUUAUUUUGCUGAUCUACCUAUCUCCCUCCCCCAAAUAUGUUCGCUUGUUUAAGCUGAAUAAUCUCCAGGUCCUGGGAUUAUGCAGCUCUUCAGGCUUUUUCCAUUUGAUGAAAGCAUCAUGUUUCCGGUAGCUUGGUAGAACUAUUCUACAUUAGCAGUUGUUAAUCAUCAUUUUCAAUGUUGUAUAGAAUAAUGCAUUUGAAUAUGCUUGUCUAGCAUUUGUUCUUAUUGUGAGCAUGUG
rnacentral:misc_RNA from 1 species